rnacentral:rRNA from 1 species
UACGGUGGGAGGCUAGCGUUGUUCGGAAUUACUGGGCGUAAAGCGCACGUAGGCGGCUUUGUAAGUUAGAGGUGAAAGCCCGGGGCUCAACUCCGGAACUGCCUUUAAGACUGCAUCGCUUGAAUCAUGGAGAGGUCAGUGGAAUUCCGAGUGUAGAGGUGAAAUUCGUAGAUAUUCGGAAGAAACACCAGUGGCGAAGGCGACUGACUGGACAUGUAUUGACGCUGAGGUGCGAAAGCGUGGGGAGCAAACAGG